rnacentral:lncRNA from 1 species
GUGGACACAGUCCAUGAUGGAGAUGGGAUCGAGCAACCUGGCUUGACUCCCACAUUUGCCCAACCAUAAGACAGCAGGCAUACCCCAAAGCAUAGGAGUGAGAUGGAUCACAAGCUCUCAGAGAUAGGUGGAGAUCGAAUAUCGAGUCUAGAUGAAGAUUGUUAGAAAAUACACCUCUAGAUUCAGUCUAUAUUAAUCCCACAGUGAGGUCCAAAAUGACAAACGAAGUCCAACGAGCCUAAGAACAGUCCAAACGGAGUUCAAAUGGAGAAAAUACGUAUGAAAGA